GUCAGGAUGGCCGAGUGGUCUAAGGCGCCAGACUCAAGAGCGCAGCUCCUCCCCAGGCUUGGGAUUUCUGGUCUCCAGAUGGAGGCGUGGGUUCAAAUCCCACUUCUGACA
rfam:Xenopus tropicalis strain Nigerian Chr08_contig_1195, whole genome shotgun sequence.